rnacentral:rRNA from 1 species
AGUGAACGCUGGCGGUAGGCCUAACACAUGCAAGUCGAACGGCAGCACAGUAAGAGCUUGCUCUUACGGGUGGCGAGUGGCGGACGGGUGAGGAAUACAUCGGAAUCUACUUUUUCGUGGGGGAUAACGUCGGGAAACUUACGCUAAUACCGCAUACGACCUACGGGUGAAAGCAGGGGAUCUUCGGACCUUGCGCGAUUGAUUGAGCCGAUGUCGGAUUAGCUAGUUGGCGGGGUAAAGGCCCACCAAGGCGGCGAUCCGUAGCUGGUCUGAGAGGAUGAUCAGCCACACUGGAAGUGAGACACGGUCCAGACUCCUACGGGAGGCAGCAGUGGGGAAUAUUGGACAAUGGGCGCAAGCCUGAUCCAGCCAUACCGCGUGGGUGAAGAAGGCCUUCGGGUUGUAAAGCCCUUUUGUUGGGAAAGAAAAGCAGCAGGUUAAUACCCCGCUGUUCUGACGGUACCCAAAGAAUAAGCACCGGCUAACUUCGUG